UGUGCACGUGUUACAACAUUGUCUUCAAGAUACAAUGAAGUUCGAACUCUUGUUUCUUACUGUUCUUGUUUGCACAAACAGAACAGUCAGAAUAUCUACUUAAAUUGUAAAAGAGAAAAGAGAACCGAGAACCUCUAAGAUUUUGUUUCUGCAUAAUAACAAAAUCUUAGAAUAAAUGCUCAAAAUAAUAUGAAAUUAAUCUGUCUUUCUUCACUAUUUUUUUUGAUAUUUCUGAUCUCAAAAACGUUUUAAGGGGUGGU
rnacentral:lncRNA from 1 species